GAACAUCGCUGGCGGCAUGCCUAACACAUGCAGUCGAACGAGAAAGUCCCGCAAGGGAUGAGUAAAGUGGCGCACGGGUGAGUAACACGUGACUAACCUACCUUCGAGUGGGGAAUAACCUCGGGAAACCGGGGCUAAUACCGCAUAAUAUCUACGGUUGCAAUACUGUGGAUCAAGCACGCAAGUGGCUUGAAGAGGGGGUCGCGGCUGAUUAGCUAGUUGGUGAGGUAAUGGCUCACCAAGGCUAUGAUCAGUAUCCGGCCUGAGAGGGCGCACGGACACACUGGAACUGAAACACGGUCCAGACUCCUACGGGAGGCAGCAGUGGGGAAUUUUGCGCAAUGGGGGAAACCCUGACGCAGCAAUGCCGCGUGGAGGAUGAAGGUCUUUGGAUUGUAAACUCCUUUCGAUCGGGACGAUUAUGACGGUACCGGAAGAAGAAGCACCGGCUAACUCUGUGCCAGCAGCCGCGGUAAUACAGAGGGUGCAAGCGUUGUUCGGAAUUAUUGGGCGUAAAGGGCGCGUAGGCGGUGUGGUAAGUCUCUAGUGAAAUCUCCGGGCUCAACUCGGAGUCUGCUAGGGAAACUGGCAUGCUUGAGUGUGGGGAGAGGUGAGUGGAAUUCCCGGUGUAGCGGU
rnacentral:rRNA from 1 species